AGUGAACGCUGGCGGUAGGCCUAACACAUGCAAGUCGAACGGCAGCACAGUAAGAGCUUGCUCUUACGGGUGGCGAGUGGCGGACGGGUGAGGAAUACAUCGGAAUCUACUUUUUCGUGGGGGAUAACGUAGGGAAACUUACGCUAAUACCGCAUACGACCUACGGGUGAAAGCAGGGGAUCUUCGGACCUUGCGCGAUUGAAUGAGCCGAUGUCGGAUUAGCUAGUUGGCGGGGUAAAGGCCCACCAAGGCGACGAUCCGUAGCUGGUCUGAGAGGAUGAUCAGCCACACUGGAACUGAGACACGGUUCAGACUCCUACGGGAGGCAGCAGUGGGGAAUAUUGGACAAUGGGCGCAAGCCUGAUCCAGCCAUACCGCGUGGGUGAAGAAGGCCUUCGGGUUGUAAAGCCCUUUUGUUGGGAAAGAAAAGCAGCAGGUUAAUACCCCGCUGUUCUGACGGGACCCAAAGAAUAAGCACCGGCUAACUUCGU
rnacentral:rRNA from 1 species